rnacentral:tRNA from 1 species
GGGGUUGUGGCUCAAUGAUAGAGUGCUCGCCUAGCAUGUGUGAGGCACUGGGUUCAAUCCUCAGCACCACA